AGAGUUUGAUCCUGGCUCAGGACGAACGCUGGCGGCAUGCCUCACACAUGCAAGUCGAACGAAGUUUUUUAGAAAGCUUGCUUUCUAAAAAACUUAGUGGCGGACGGGUGAGUAACACGUGGGCAACCUGCCCUACAGAUCGGGAUACCAUCGGGAAACUGAUGUUAAUACCGGAUACGUUCUAAGAAUCGCCUGAUUUUUAGAAGAAAGAUUUUAUCGCUGUAGGAUGGGCCCGCGGUCCAUUAGCUAGUUGGUAGGGUAACGGCCUACCAAGGCGACGAUGGAUAGCUGGUCUGAGAGGACGAUCAGCCACACUGGGACUGAGACACGGCCCAGACUCCUACGGGAGGCAGCAGUGGGGAAUAUUGCGCAAUGGGGGCAACCCUGACGCAGCAAUGCCGCGUGAAGGAUGAAGGCUUUCGGGUCGUAAACUUCUGUCUAGAGGGAUGAAUUUUUGACAGUACCUCUGGAGGAAGCCCCGGCUAACUACGUGCCAGCCGCCGCGGUAAUUC
rnacentral:rRNA from 1 species